rnacentral:rRNA from 1 species
UAGGGAAUCUUCGGCAAUGGACGAAAGUCUGACCGAGCAACGCCGCGUGAGUGAAGAAGGUUUUCGGAUCGUAAAACUCUGUUGUUAGAGAAGAACAAGGACGUUAGUAACUGAACGUCCCCUGACGGUAUCUAACCAGAAAGCCACGGCUAACUACGUGCCAGCAGCCGCGGUAAUACGUAGGUGGCAAGCGUUGUCCGGAUUUAUUGGGCGUAAAGCGAGCGCAGGCGGUUUCUUAAGUCUGAUGUGAAAGCCCCCGGCUCAACCGGGGAGGGUCAUUGGAAACUGGGAGACGUGAGUGCAGAAGAGGAGAGGGGAAUUCCAUGUGUAGCGGUGAAAUGCGUAGAUAUAUGGAGGAACACCAGUGGCGAAGGCGGCUCUCUGGUCUGUAACUGACGCUGAGGCUCGAAAGCGUGGGGAGCAAACAGG